UACGUAGGGGCAAGCGUUGUCCGGAAUCAUUGGGCGUAAAGAGCGCGUAGGCGGUCCGGUAAGUCGGUUGUGGAAAACUGGGGGCCUCAACCCUCAGAGGCCGACCGAUACUGUCGGGCUAGAGUCCGGAAGAGGCGAGUGGAAUUCCUGGUGUAGCGGUGAAAUGCGCAGAUAUCAGGAGGAACACCAAUGGCGAAGGCAGCUCGCUGGACGGUACUGACGCUGAGGCGCGAAAGCGUAGGGGAGCAAACAGG
rnacentral:rRNA from 1 species